GUUGUCCGACUCUGUUGCCUCCGGGGCGACCCUGCCUUCGGGCGGGGGCUCCGGGUGGACACUUCAAACUCUUGCGUAACUUUGCAGUCUGAGUAAACUUAAUUAAUAAAUUAAAACUUUUAACAACGGAUCUCUUGGUUCUGGCAUCGAUGAAGAACGCAGCGAAAUGCGAUAAGUAAUGUGAAUUGCAGAAUUCAGUGAAUCAUCGAAUCUUUGAACGCACAUUGCGCCCCCUGGUAUUCCGGGGGGCAUGCCUGUUCGAGCGUCAUUUCACCACUCAAGCCUCGCUUGGUAUUGGGCAACGCGGUCCGCCGCGUGCCUCAAAUCGACCGGCUGGGUCUUCUGUCCCCUAAGCGUUGUGGAAACUAUUCGCUAAAGGGUGUUCGGGAGGCUACGCCGUAAAACAACCCCAUUUCUAAGGUUGACCUCGGAUCAGGUAGGGAUACCCGCUGAACUUAAGCA
rnacentral:rRNA from 1 species